rnacentral:rRNA from 1 species
GACGUAGGGCGCGAGCGUUGUCCGGAUUUAUUGGGCGUAAAGAGCUCGUAGGCGGUUUGUCGCGUCUGCUGUGAAAACCUAAGGCUCAACCUUGGGCUUGCAGUAGGUACGGGCAGACUAGAGUGCGGUAGGGGUGACUGGAAUUCCUGGUGUAGCGGUGGAAUGCGCAGAUAUCAGGAGGAACACCGAUGGCGAAGGCAGGUCACUGGGCCGCAACUGACGCUGAGGAGCGAAAGCAUGGGGAGCGAACAGG